ensembl:lncRNA
UCAGUACUGUGUCUAGACGGUCAGUCUGUGUCUAGACGGUCAGUACUGUGUCUAGGCUGUCAGUACUGUGUCUAGGCGGUCAGUACUGUGUCUAGGCGGUCAGUACUGUGUCUAGGCAGUCAGGACCGUGUCCACACGGUCAGUACUGUGUCCAGACGGUCAGUACUGUGUCUAGGCUGUCAGUACUGUGUCCAGACGGUCAGUACUGUGUCUAGGCUGUCAGUACUGUGUCCAGAUGGUCAGUACUGUGUCUAGGCGGUCAGUACUGUGUCUAGACGGUCAGUACUGUGUCUAGGCUGUCAGUACUGUGUCCAGAUGGUCAGUACUGUGUCUAGGCAGUCAUGGGACAGUGGUUGGGUUUGGGUGAGUAGAGACGAAAGAGGUAGAAAGGAGAGGAGUAGAGAGGAGAGGAGUAGGAGUCUCCAACAUGCAGAGUGACCCACUGGUAGAGCAUGCUGG